AUGCAAACAAUCUAGAGUCAAAGAGUGCUUGAAAUUGUCGGAAGGGAAGUGGAUGGGGGCUGGCGAUUCAUCCCGGUUGGAUGCGGAACAGAGCAAUCCUGUACGCCGAUCGAUUCGGGCCGUGGACCGACACGGAUUAAGGUGGUGACCUAAGACCAGGCUUUUGUUACGCCCGCGGAGACGUCGCUGCCUUUAUUGUGGUCUGCAGCACGCGCCUCACGGUGUGCCUCGGCAUCUGCGUGCUCAGGGCGUCGGCCUGCGGGCUCCCCAUUCGACCCGUCUUGAAACACGG
rnacentral:ncRNA from 2 species